UACGAAGGGGGCUAGCGUUGUUCGGAAUUACUGGGCGUAAAGGGCGCGUAGGCGGUGUGUCAAGUCAGGCGUGAAAGCCCCGGGCUCAACCUGGGAACAGCGCUUGAGACUGGCACGCUCGAGUUCGGGAGAGGUGAGUGGAACUGCGAGUGUAGAGGUGAAAUUCGUAGAUAUUCGCAAGAACACCAGUGGCGAAGGCGGCUCACUGGCCCGAUACUGACGCUGAGGCACGAAAGCGUGGGGAGCAAACAGG
rnacentral:rRNA from 1 species